rnacentral:lncRNA from 1 species
CUGUUUGCAUGCUUUCUUAGGGACAGGACAGAGUUUGACACAAAGUAGAUGUAGAAAUGUCCUGUUGCUUCCUGCAACUUUAGACCCGGUUUUAACUCAGAAUGGUUAGUAUACCAGUCUUUACAUGUGUAGCUGUGUAUGCUUAGUAGCCUUUGCUACUUAGAAUCUCUAUACACAACUAUCAUCAUCUUAUCAUCGUCUUAGAGUCAAAUAUUACCUUGUCAGAAGAGUCACAAUAACUGCCCAUUAUCUCCUUGUCAGCCUUUUGACUUUUAACUCACUGACCAUUCCCAGUAUGCCGUACUAGUUUUGACUGCUUGAGUUCUCUUGUAUUUA